AUGCUAAUGAGUAAAAAAUAUUAUCAGAAAACAAUAAUUAACCUUGAGUAUAAAAGUAUUAACCAGAGGCAAUCAAUCACUUUCCCAGGCUUAGUACACACUUGGAAUGCAUUAACUGCUCCUAAAGGAAUAAUUAAAGAGCUUAGCUGCUCUGUUUCAGACACAAGUAACAAAGGGUCAGUCAAAAACUACAUGGAAAUCUGGCGAUUGAAGAUAACAUUAACCAAAUGGUUGACAUUAGAUGUUGCACUCAACGGAGCCAGACGCUCUCUGAUAGGUGAUAAAUAUGUGUGCUAUCAGAAGUGGAUGAUUAUGCAGAUUUUAUUCCACACUGGAUGGUAUUGUGCAGUAUCAUGUUUUUAACAGCUAUAUUGAGGAAUUAUUGACAUAUAAUAAACUGUACACAGUUAAAGUGUACA
rnacentral:lncRNA from 1 species